GACGAACGCUGGCGGCGUGCUUAACACAUGCAAGUCGAACGGAAAGGCCCUGCUUUUGUGGGGUGCUCGAGUGGCGAACGGGUGAGUAACACGUGAGUAACCUGCCCUUGACUUUGGGAUAACUUCAGGAAACUGGGGCUAAUACCGGAUAGGAGCUCCUGCUGCAUGGGGGGGGUGGGAAAGUUUCGGUGGUUGGGGAUGGACUCGCGGUUUAUCAGCUUGUUGGUGGGGUAGUGGCUUACCAAGGCUUUGACGGGUAGCCGGCCUGAGAGGGUGACCGGCCACAUUGGGACUGAGAUACGGCCCAGACUCCUACGGGAGGCAGCAGUGGGGAAUAUUGCACAAUGGGCGGAAGCCUGAUGCAGCAACGCCGCGUGCGGGAUGACGGCCUUCGGGUUGUAAACCGCUUUCGCCUGUGACGAAGCGUGAGUGACGGUAAUGGGUAAAGAAGCACCGGCUAACUACGUG
rnacentral:rRNA from 1 species